rnacentral:rRNA from 1 species
GAUGAACGCUAGCGGCAGGCUUAAUACAUGCAAGUCGAGGGGCAGCACGGUAUAGCAAUAUAUGGGUGGCGACCGGCAAACGGGUGCGGAACACGUACACAACCUUCCGGUGGGCGGGGGAUAGCCCAGAGAAAUUUGGAUUAAUACCCCAUACUAUAAUGAUCAGGCAUCUGGUUAUUAUCAAAGGCUUCGGCCGCUUAUUGAUGGGUGUGCGUCUGAUUAGGUAGUUGGCGGGGUAGAGGCCCACCAAGCCUACGAUCAGUAGCUGAUGUGAGAGCAUGAUCAGCCACACGGGCACUGAGACACGGGCCCGACUCCUACGGGAGGCAGCAGUAAGGAAUAUUGGACAAUGGACGCAAGUCUGAUCCAGCCAUGCCGCGUGAAGGAUGAAUGCCCUCUGGGUUGUAAACUUCUUUUACAGGGGAAGAAAGUUAUCUUUUUUAGGAUAUUUGACGGUACCCUAUGAAUAAGCACCGGCUAACUCCGUGCCAGCAGCCGCGGUAAUACGGAGGGUGCAAGCGUUAUCCGGAUUCACUGGGUUUAAAGGGUGCGUAGGCGGGUAUGUAAGUCAGUGGUGAAAUACCGGAGCUUAACUUCGGAACUGCCAUUGAUACUAUAUAUCUUGAAUAUUGUGGAGGUAAGCGGAAUAUGUCAUGUAGCGGUGAAAUGCUUAGGGAUGACAUAGAACACCGGUUGCGAAGGCAGCUUACUACGCAAAUAUUGACGCUGAGGCACGAAAGCGUGGGGAUCAAACAGGAUUAGAUACCCUGGUAGUCCACGCCCUAAACGAUGAUUACUCGACAUUAGCGAUACACAGUUAGUGUCUGAGCGAAA